CAGCAGCCGCGGUAAUACGGAGGGGGCUAGCGUUGUUCGGAAUUACUGAGCGUAAAGCGCACGUAGGCGGCUUGGUAAGUUAGAGGUGAAAGCCUGGAGCUCAACUCCAGAAUUGCCUUUAAGACUGCCGAACUAGCAGGUGAGAGAGGUAAGUGGAAUUCCGAGUGUGGAGGUGAAAUUCGUAGAUAUUCGGAAGAACACCAGUGGCGAAGGCGGCUUACUGGCUCAUACUGGACGCUGAGGUGCGAAAGCGUGGGGAGCAAACAGGAUUAGAUACCCCCGUAGUCCCUGUCUCUUAUAC
rnacentral:rRNA from 1 species